UUUUUUUCUUUCUUUUCAUUUUAUUAGGUUAAUAAAACUUGUUUUCCAAGCUUUUGGUGGGGGGAUCCCAGGAGUGCAAUCAUCCUUGAUGUCAAAUUCAUCAGGUACCUAAUGAAAGGACUUUGGAGGUCUCUACUACAUCUGUACCUGAAGUUCUUGGUGUCUCAUAAAGUUAGUGACUUUGCCAACUUCCUGGAGGUUCAUGUCGGAUUCUGUAAAAGGACUGCAUUUCCUUUUGGAAUGGGGACUGGGAGAGAGAGGCAGCAGAAGCCCGGGUUCACCAGCAAAUUGUCAUUGGCAGGUUGAUAAAUUAAAAAGUGCUAAGAAGUUGUGAGCUGAGAAGCUUGGAAAGAAUGCAAACUCCUCUUCCAAUUCUAUAGAUAGAAUGCCAUGGACAUAUGGGUGCUGGGAAAGCCCUAAGAGGAUUAUUUUUUGACUCCUGUGUUCCUGGGAAAGAAGGACCACAAAACCAAGUCUACUUGUCUUUCUACUCCAGUUACUGAUAAAGGUGUGAAGAUUCACAAGGAAAACUCCAACAGGGAAGUCAUAUACUAACAUCUCAGCACCAGGUACUGAAGAGUUUCUCCUACCAGCCGUUGGAACUUUUAAUGAGUGGUUGGCAACUUUUUAAUGGACACUGUACAGAAAAAUCUUUGUGGUGUUUGCCGUGGCUGAGGACUUAGGAUGCAAUAAAACAUGGUCGGCUAACCA
rnacentral:lncRNA from 1 species